rnacentral:lncRNA from 10 species
UUCUCCAUGUUGGUCAGGCUGUUCUCGAACUCCUGACCUCAGGUGAUACACCUGCCUCAGCCUCCCAAAGUGCUGGGAUUACAGGCAUGAGCCACUGCACCCGGCCACAUGUCUUAUCUUCCUACUAUCCUACUGGAUUGAUAUCCUGGGAAUCAGGCACUAUAUCUUAUGUUCGUGUCUUGAAACAGCAAGGUCUCAAUACAUAUAUUUGAUUAGAUGGAGAUAAUUAGCUACUCAACAAUAGUGAAGUGACAUCAUGACAGUACCCUCUCACCACUCCUCCAGUGUGGUCAACAGUGGUAUGGGAUGCUUUUCCAUUGUGCAAUUACUAGAUAUUACAUGAACAGUGCUGCUCAGCUAUAAAGAAAAUCCCAAUCAGUCAUCCCUUUUGGAACUUCAUGAUUGAAAAUAUUUUACUGUUGAAAACCACACAAUUAGAUGACAUGUUGACAUACUAAAAUGUUUCCAAGCCAAAAAAGGAGGAUAGGUGUUAAGUAUUUUACCCUCAAACACUUUUAGUAUAUUACUGGACUCUGCGGUAACAUGGUAAGUGCCCAAAGUGAACUCCUAGAAUUGCUGUAUUCCAUGGCUUCUACCUUUUGAAGAAAGAUACUGAGAUCUAUAGAUCAAUCUAUGGAUCAGUGGUGGGCAAGCCAGAUAGAAACGCCCAAGUCAGAAAACCAACAGCCCACGUGGAUGGUCAGAUGUGGGUGGACAUGCAAUCAGCAAAGAGCAAUUCUUGUUAGGCAGGACAGUCAUUACCACCUGGCCCUUGUCGUAGUGGUGGUGAUGGAGGUGGGUGGAUGUGUGGGACAUGUACCCAUGGGGUCCAACCAGAGCAAGAAGUGACCCAGACUCUGGCAAUGGGGCAUAAGGCACUUGACUACCACCCUUGACAGGGCAGGACUAGGGCAAGGGAAGCUAUACUGCAGAUCUGAACUAA